GAGGAGAGUAUUACUAGUAAAACAGCUGCUAACUGGAUUUACAAGCGGUUAAAUUCCGUUUCCUCC
rnacentral:tRNA from 1 species